rnacentral:rRNA from 1 species
GCUCAGGACGAACGCUGGCGGCGUGCCUAAUACAUGCAAGUCGAACGCUUUUUCUUUCACCGGAGCUUGCUCCACCGAAAGAAAAAGAGUGGCGAACGGGUGAGUAACACGUGGGUAACCUGCCCAUCAGAAGGGGAUAACACUUGGAAACAGGUGCUAAUACCGUAUAACACUAUUUUCCGCAUGGAAGAAAGUUGAAAGGCGCUUUUGCGUCACUGAUGGAUGGACCCGCGGUGCAUUAGCUAGUUGGUGAGGUAACGGCUCACCAAGGCAACGAUGCAUAGCCGACCUGAGAGGGUGAUCGGCCACACUGGGACUGAGACACGGCCCAGACUCCUACGGGAGGCAGCAGUAGGGAAUCUUCGGCAAUGGACGAAAGUCUGACCGAGCAACGCCGCGUGAGUGAAGAAGGUUUUCGGAUCGUAAAACUCUGUUGUUAGAGAAGAACAAGGAUGAGAGUAAAAUGUUCAUCCCUUGACGGUAUCUAACCAGAAAGCCACGGCUAACUACGUGCCAGCAGCCGCGGUAAUACGUAGGUGGCAAGCGUUGUCCGGAUUUAUUGGGCGUAAAGCGAGCGCAGGCGGUUUCUUAAGUCUGAUGUGAAAGCCCCCGGCUCAACCGGGGAGGGUCAUUGGAAACUGGGAGACUUGAGUGCAGAAGAGGAGAGUGGAAUUCCAUGUGUAGCGGUGAAAUGCGUAGAUAUAUGGAGGAACACCAGUGGCGAAGGCGGCUCUCUGGUCUGUAACUGACGCUGAGGCUCGAAAGCGUGGGAGCGAACAGGAUAGAUACCC